rnacentral:rRNA from 1 species
GACGAACGCUGGCGGCGUGCUUAACACAUGCAAGUCGAACGGAAAGGCCCUGCUUGUGGGGGGUGCUCGAGGGGCGAACGGGUGAGUAACACGUGAGUAACCUGCCCUUGACUUGGGGAUAACUUCAGGAAACUGGGGCUAAUACCGGAUAGGAGCUCGUGCUGCAGGGUGGGGGUUGGAAAGUUUCGGCGGUUGGGGAUGGACUCGCGGCUUAUCAGCUUGUUGGUGGGGUAGUGGCUUACCAAGGCUUUGACGGGUAGCCGGCCUGAGAGGGUGACGGGCCACAUUGGGACUGAGAUACGGCCCAGACCCCUACGGGGGGCAGCAGUGGGGAAUAUUGCACAAUGGGCGGACGCGUGAUGCAGCAACGCCGCGUGCGGGAUGACGGCCUUCGGGUUGUACCCCGCUUCGCCUGUGCCGAAGCGUGAGUGACGGUAAUGGGUAAAGAAGCACCGGCUAACUACGUG